GUAGGGAAUAUUGGACAAUGGGGGGAACCCUGAUCCAGCCAUGCCGCGUGGAGGAAGACUGCCCUCUGGGUUGUAAACUCCUUUUAUAUGGGAAGAACCGUCCUCAUUAAUGAGUGACCUGACGGUACCAUAGGAAUAAGCACCGGCUAACUCCGUGCCAGCAGCCGCGGUAAUACGGAGGGUGCAAGCGGUAUCCGGAUUCACUGGGUUUAAAGGGUGCGUAGGCGGAUAAAUAAGUCAGUGGUGAAAUCAACGGGCUCAACCUGUUAACUGCCAUUGAUACUGUGUAUCUUGAAUAUUAGAGAGGUAGGCGGAAUGUUGCAUGUAGCGGUGAAAUGCUUAGAUAUGCUACGGAACACCGAUUGCGAAGGCAGCUUACUAUUUCGUAAUUGACGCUGAGGCACGAAAGCGUGGGUAGCGAACAGGAUUAGAAACCCCUGUAGUCC
rnacentral:rRNA from 1 species